UGAAGCCUAUACAGAGAGAGGAAGGUUUGAAAUGACCAGUUUUUGGAAGUGACCCCAUAGCUGUUUUUCUUGUGUGCUCAUGGACCCAAGACCCAGAUGAUUUCAAACAUAACCUUCCCGACCUUAGGCUAUUUUCUUGGCCAAUCACUAUUCUCAACUCUGAAGAAGUCUUUCAGGCUCAUUUGCUACCAGACUCCGAGAUGACUAUUUUAAUGCCUGUAGAAUUGAUGCUUUUGAACUGUGGUGUUGGAGAAGACUCUUGAGAGUCCCUCAGACUGCAAGGAGAUCCAACCAGUCCAUUCUAAAGGAGAUCAGCCCUGGGUGUUCUUUGGAAGGAAUGAUGCUAAAGCUGAAGCUCCACUACUUUGGCCACCUCAUGCGAAGAGUUGACUCAUUGGAAAAGACUGAUGCUGGGAGGGUUUGGGGGCAGGAGGAAAAGGGGACGACAGAGGAUGAGACGGCUGGAUGGCAUCACCGACUCGAUGGACGUGAGUUUGAGUGAACUCCGGGAUUUGGUGAUUGACAGGGAGGCCUGGCGUGCUGUGAUUCAUGGGGUCGCAAAGAGUUGGACAUGACUGAGCGACUGAACUGAACUGAACUGAACUGAACCUUGGAUUGAAUCUUUGAAAUAACAUGAUUAAAAGUUCGUAGGAAAAGUAUUAAAUUCUUACAACCAUGCCCAUCAUUACUAGCUAGUAUGCCAAUGUGCAAUUCACAGGACUAAACAUCGCAAGUCUUUAAACAAAAAUUCAUGUAGUUUGAGUGAGAAAGGGAGUUGAAAGUCAUUGUCCUGUGAAAGAAGACUUGGGAAAGAGCGGGGAGGAUUAUAGAAGGUACUGUCUUCUUUCUCUUGGGGGCAGGGAAUGGUUAGCCUUAUGGUUUAAAUAAAUCUGUUAAACUAUGGCA
rnacentral:lncRNA from 1 species